rnacentral:rRNA from 1 species
GGCUUAACCAUAGAAUUGCCUCAGAAACUGUUUCGCUUGAGUCAGUGAGGGGAGGGCGGAAUUCCUGGUGUAGCGGUGAAAUGCGUAGAUAUCAGGAGGAAGGCCGGUAGCGAAGGCGGCCCUCUGGCACUGAACUGACGCUGAGGCGCGAAAGCGUGGGUAGCAAACAGGAUUAGAUACCCUGGUAGUCCACGCCCUAAACGGUGGGCAUUAGGUGUAGGGCUCGUAAGGGUUCUGUGCCGAAGGGAAACCAUUAAAUGCCCCGCCUGGGGAAUACGGCCGCAAGGUUGAAACUCAAAGGAAUUGACGGGGGCCCGCACAAGCGGUGGAGCAUGUGGUUUAAUUCGACGCUACGCGAAGAACCUUACCUGGGUUUGACAUGUUAGUAGUAAAAACCUGAAAAGGGGCUGACCCUGAGGUAACUCAGGGAGCUAACACAGGUGCUGCAUGGCUGUCGUCAGCUCGUGCCGUGAGGUGUUGGGUUAAGUCCCGCAACGAGCGCAACCCUUAUCCUCUGUUGGUCGUAAACGAUCUCUCUGGGGAAACUGCCGGCGAUGAGCUGGAGGAAGGUGGGGAUGACGUCAAGUCAGCAUGGCCCUUAUGUCCAGGGCGACACACGUGCUACAAUGGCUGCUACAGAGGGAUGCAAUACCGUGAGGUGGAGCCAAUCCUUAAAAGCAGUCUCAGUGGGGAUCGGAGUCUGCAAUUCGACCCCGUGAACGCGGAAUCGCUAGUAAUCAUGGAUCAGCCAUGCCAUGGUGAAUACGUUCCCGGGCCUUGUACACACCGCCCGUCACACCACGAAAGCCUGUUGUACCCGAAGCUGGGGAGUUAACUCCUGAGCUUGUCGAGGGGG